GGGCCAAUCGUAUAGUGGCUUAUUAUGCUGUCUUAGGGUAAUCACCUCCUUCCGGAGGAUGCACUCUAAGUUGACAGAGGUCCCCGGUUCGAUUCCGGGUUGGCCCC
rnacentral:tRNA from 1 species